rnacentral:lncRNA from 1 species
CAAAACAAAACAACAGGGGUGUGGCAUACGGGCUUUUAAGAACCCAAAAUCCCAAAAGGGAUUCCCUAAUGCCCUUUUCUUCACCAAUCUUCUUCUCCCCUGGCUUAUAUUCUCCCUUUCCUUUCCUUUCAAUGAUGUUAGGAGGGGGGUCGCGGUUUCUCCUUUUCUUAAAUCCAGAAGGGAUUCGAAUCCCUAGUCUCCACUCUCUCCAUGCAUCCUUUAUGAAGGUUGGACAGGGUCACCGGAGAUGGUUUCCCUUCUUAUUUUCGGGGUCCAGCAACGAUGAUAAGGUACAAUGUUGUCUUCUCCCUUUCUCCUUCUUCUUCACUUUUCGUUCUUAUUUCGUUGGUUUUGGUUACUGUUUGGUUUUUUUUUCAAUAGGUGAAUUAAGGGAGAAUGAAGACGGUAUUGUGUGGUGGCUCGCGGUGGUUUUCUAGAUCCGCGGGAAAUCGGUAAGGGACCAAAUCCCUCAUAUUGGUAUUUACGUUUCUUUUAUUGCAUGCUAUUUUUGAUUGACGAUAUGCAUAUAAAAAAAACGUAUACGGGUUGAUGUUAAUCUGGAAAUGAAUUGUAUUAUUUUGGUUUAAGGUCACUGUAAUGCAUUACUUCCAUUAUUAUCGCUUUACGAUCUACCUCAUUUUUUUGUUUAACCGCGUUCUGAUUUAAUUACACAAACCUAUAUGCAUUACCUUUCAUUACAAUGAUGUACAGUCUUGUUUGAUUAUUAUUCUAGUUUCGAACCAUUGAUAAUUAGCUGUAACAUGUCAGAUAAACGUAACCCAGGAGACAAGGACAAAUGGUUAGAUAAGGGGUUCCGUAAGGACACAUGGGUAGGUCACUUUAAUAUUUGGGUGUGCCAAUAGUGUCACAUAAGGCUAUGACAACCAAGAGGAGACAUUAUACCAUAAAAUAUAUGUUCUAUGCUGAUUUUUUAAGUGCAGGAACAGUAGAAAAAUAAUGACAUUAACACACCAACCAUGGAAAUUACGAAGUCUGAAUAUGGAUUUUAAUACUAACCUUAGGUAGCAAUUUGGUUUGGCUGUAUCGUUUUACCGUAUUAUCUCUGAACUUGUGCUUCCUUUUAGAUAUCUCUCUGAUUCUGCUGAGUGAUGUCUCCGUGUGUAUCUAUUCCUGAAUUCAUGUGAUGCACGUGCUAUAUGAUUUCUACCUGCACGUGCUAUAGGGAUUGCUCUCUAGUUGUUAUAUGGUGUGUAUGGUUGUGGUAUGCUGAUUUCACAAUGUAUGUGUGACAUGUAUGUGUUCUCCUCUCUGACUGUUAUGUUCAUAUAUACGUGUUCUCCUCUCUGACUGUUAUGUUCAUAUGUAUGAACUUUUCUUCUGAUCCCCUGCAAUGUAUGUUUUGACUGCCUUUUAUAAGGGUCUUGGAGUUGAUCCAGAGCACCUCUUAGGCUGCCCAAAUAACUGCUAGCAAAAUUGUAACUGACAUCACAAUAACACUGCCAUGCAUCUGUUUCAUAUCACUUUAUGCUGAUUCAUGGCUGACUUUAAUUUUUUGCCUGCUGAAAUCCAUGUCAUAGCUGGUUUCUAAAUGUAUAACUUAUCCUUGAUUGCCAUUUAUUCAGUAACUGUCCAAGAAUACGUGCAUGAUUAUCAUGGAUUUAGCAUCAUUUUAGCUUCCCAUUGCUGAUGUUUCUUGCUGGUUGCAUUCCCCUUGACAUACCUGAUUAUAACGUUUUUACUGCUUGUGAAUUUCAACAAAUAAAUGCUUAUACAAACACAUUUAUAAUUGUUAAUAUUCUACAUAUACACUCAAAAGUUAAUGUUAAUAUUACAUCUAUAUGAAUGGGAAAUAUAAUGUUUCAAUACAUGACACGAAGUCUGAAUAUGGAUUUUAAUACUAACCUUAGGUAGCAAUUUGGUUUGGCUGUAUCGUUUUACCGUAUUAUCUCUGAACUUGUGCUUCCUUUUAGAUAUCUCUCUGAUUCUGCUGAGUGAUGUCUCCGUGUGUAUCUAUUCCUGAAUUCAUGUGAUGCACGUGCUAUAUGAUUUCUACCUGCACGUGCUAUAGGGAUUGCUCUCUAGUUGUUAUAUGGUGUGUAUGGUUGUGGUAUGCUGAUUUCACAAUGUAUGUGUGAUAUGUAUGUGUUCUCCUCUCUGACUGUUAUGUUCAUAUGUAUGAACUUUUCUUCUGAUCCCCUGCAAUGUAUGUUUUGACUGCCUUUUAUAAGGGUCUUGGAGUUGAUCCAGAGCACCUCUUAGGCUGCCCAAAUAACUGCUAGCAAAAUUGUAACUGACAUCACAAUAACACUGCCAUGCAUCUGUUUCAUAUCACUUUAUGCUGAUUCAUGGCUGACUUUAAUUUUUUGCCUGCUGAAAUCCAUGUCAUAGCUGGUUUCUAAAUGUAUAACUUAUCCUUGAUUGCCAUUUAUUCAGUAACUGUCCAAGAAUACGUGCAUGAUUAUCAUGGAUUUAGCAUCAUUUUAGCUUCCCAUUGCUGAUGUUUCUUGCUGGUUGCAUUCCCCUUGACAUACCUGAUUAUAACGUUUUUACUGCUUGUGAAUAACUGUCACUUAUGAUGAAAUUAUAGCAUUGAUGUUUCAGGCAGGUUUUCGUUUUCAUUUUCUUAAAUCUGUGGCAUCUUUUGGCAAUGCAGCAACUUGAUAUGUUCCACUAGCAAGGGCAGGUGAAGGGAAGUUUUUAGCAUAAGUCUCUUUGACUAUCCUAAAAUCCUUCAAGAUAGCCAAUA